rnacentral:lncRNA from 1 species
GGAAGGGAAGGGCCGCGUGCGCGGGCCGGGCUCAGCUCCGAGGAGCUGCCUGAGUUCUGCUCCUGGAGACCCGGCUCAGGUCUGGAGUGAUGGCUUCAGUAACACGAUUUCACCACCAAGACUGCAAGGCCAAAAUCCAGGUAAGGUCAUGCAACUCUUUAUCUUUUUAGGCAGGGGGGUGUGUGUCUUGUGAAUGAGCUCUUAAAAAUCAUGUUCUCUGACACUUUUUUGGAAGCGUAGAAUUUGUUCACUGGUGUCCUUGGCCAAAAUUUCAGCUACUGCCUUCAGUG